rnacentral:rRNA from 1 species
CACGUAAAAGACUAGUGUUAUUCAUCUUUAAUAGGUUUAAAGGGUACCUAGACGGUCAAUCAAGUCCGACAAGGAUACUAAUCGACUAGAGUUUAAUAUGAGGGAGCACAAAAGUACUGAUAAGUGGAGAGAUGAAAUUCUGUGAUACAAUAUAUGGCACUGGCAAAGGCGAAGGCAUCUCAUUAUGUAAUAACUGACGUUGAGGGACGAAGGCUAUGUAUAGCAAAAAGG